GAAACUAGACAUAUGUGGCUAUCAUGAAAUCCUGCUGUGGUAUGGGAGAAAGGCACAAGCUGCAUCAUCAAAAUGCAGACACUUCCAGGAUGGAGAAGAGACCCUAAUCAGAGUAUGGAUGCUCCUUUGCUCUGGUGAAAAGGCUACAUUUUAGUCAGGACAUGAAGGAAAGAUUUUAUUAUUUUUCACGGAAGUUCAAGAGGAUAUCACCCUGAAACAAGC